AUUGUUCUCCGUUAGAUCCUCUGCUUACUUCUCCGUCUGUGUAUCGUUGUGUUCCUGCCUGAGGUCGUUUCUGUGAAUUUUCAGUUUAAUUUUCAUUAUUAAAGAUUAUUUUCAACUCACCAUGCAACUCCCGUCCUCCUGCUGGCACUUUGGUCCUGCUUCACCUCCUCGCACCGUGACAGGAGUAGAAUAUAGACGUCUUAGAGAUGAAAAUGAAGGACGUCAUGAAGAAGAACAGAAGGAAGACAAAGGGGAUGACAUGGAGCACAAGGAGGAACCGUGAAGAAACCAGGAACACGAAGGAGAACCUGAUGACCGAAGCAACCAGAGGACACAUGUACAGAGAGAAGGACUCCUGGAAAACACAGACCUGCUGCAGCUUUAAAGGGAGCAGGAGACUAAAGGCAGCUGAUGGAGGGAGACUGACUGAACACAAGGAAACGUGUCAACAAAACACAGGAGGCAGAAAAAACUCAGCUGAACAUAAAACACAAGAAAGACUAAAAAUAUGAAACCCAAAGAAUUCACUGAGCUACAAAACUAACACUAAACUACAAUCCUCCAUAUCAUGACAGAUAUCUCAACUCAAGAGUCCAGUUUAUGAAGAGUUGAAUAAAACUGGUAGAAACGUCAAGAACCUCAUCUUUGAAAGAAGAUGAAGGAUGAUUAUUUUAUUUUAUCUUUGACCGUGUAAAUGCUUCAUUAUUUUAAUUAAUUUAAUGUCUUAUUUUGUUUAAAUGACAAAGUAUUAAACUGGUUAAUCAGCUAAGAGGAAACUUUUAUCUGCAGUUUUGGAGCCUUUUUCAUAAAUAAUCCCUGCAGGAUGAGUCGUUAUAAACAGACAUAUUCAGAUGUAUUUUCCCACAGAUUUCUGUCCAUCAGGAUCAGCAGGUUGUUUCUCUUGAUGUUCUUCUGAAAACAGGAGUGAAAAAUAGAGGAAAACAAACCAACAAACAGAAGAUCCUGAGAUGAAACAGCUUUGUUUCAGUCAGACAGAAAGCAGUUAGUUCAGCAGCUCUUUAUCAACCAAGUACUUUUAAUCAUUUGAUGUUUCUAAUUAUCAAAGAAACUGAAACAAGACAAACAUGUGAAAAUCCACCAAAACAUCAAUGCUGUGCUGCUGCUGCUUUAAAAUGAUGAUAAAAACAACACUAAUAAUAAAAAGAAAGGACUUUCAGGUUAUAUAUGUAUAAUAAAGGAAAUGAUGUCUGUUAAAACCUGUUUUCCUGUUUAAAGACCAAUAUUGAAUAAAUUACAUGUAGAAACA